CGAAGGAGGAGACCCAGGACUCGCUGUAUCCGAGCCCCGAGCUUGGGAAUCUCUCAAGCAUCCUGCAUGUUUUCCACAAAUCUGGGGAACCUAAACCCUCAUGGUUCCUGAAGCAGAGAUGGCUGGCAGUCAUCAGCACAGGACCAGGACUGCACCCCACUCCUUCCAUUUGGGAAUAGAAUAUGACGAUGUGACCUUAGAAGAUGGCAGAGCCACACAAUGGAAGGCGUUUGGGUCCUUGAAUCACUGUAUCAACAGAGCCACCCACAGAAUAUGAACAUCCUCCCUGGACUGUCACAAUGAGUGAGGAAAAAACUUUACUGUGUUUGAGCCUUCAUAUAUUUGGGGCCUAUUCACUACUGCAGCUAGUGUUACCUUGAGUCAUUGGUGCCUUGAAUUACGGAACUGCCGUAACAAAAUUCUAAAAUAUGUUAGCAGCUGGGCAAGAGGGAACACGGAACUGUUGGAGCUGGAAAAUGGAUAUCUAUGUUAUGUAGUGACAAAACAUUGGGUAAAUCUGUUGCAUGUCAUUAUGGACUGAAUGUUUGUGGCCUCCCCUAAAUUCAUAUGUUGAAUCCUAACCCUCAAAGUAGUAGUGUCAGGAGGUGGGGCCUUUGGGAAGUGACUAGGUUGUGAGGGUGGAGCCCUCAUGGAUGGGGUUAAUGCCAUUAUAAAAGAGCCCCAGAGAGCUGCCUUGCCCUCUUUCUGUCAUGUGAGGACUGAGUGAGAAGGAUCCAUCUAUAAAUCAGAAACAGGGCCCUCCACAGACAUAGGUUCUGCCUGUGUCAUCUUCUUGGACUUCCUGGUAUCUAGAACUGUGAGAAAUAAAUUCCUGUUCUUUGUAAGCUA
rnacentral:antisense_RNA from 1 species